UACGUAGGGUCCGAGCGUUGUCCGGAAUUACUGGGCGUAAAGAGCUCGUAGGUGGUUUGUCGCGUUGUUCGUGAAAACUCACAGCUUAACUGUGGGCGUGCGGGCGAUACGGGCAGACUGGAGUACUGCAGGGGAGACUGGAAUUCCUGGUGUAGAGGUGGAAUGCGCAGAUAUCAGGAGGAACACCGGUGGCGAAGGCGGGUCUCUGGGCAGUAACUGACGCUGAGGAGCGAAAGCGUGGGGAGCGAACAGG
rnacentral:rRNA from 1 species